rnacentral:rRNA from 1 species
CCUACGGGAGGCAGCAGUAGGGAAUAUUGCUCAAUGGGGGAAACCCUGAAGCAGCAACGCCGCGUGGAGGAUGAAGGUUUUCGGAGUGUAAACUCCUUUUGUUAGAGAAGAUAAUGACGGUAUCUAACGAAUAAGCACCGGCUAACUCCGUGCCAGCAGCCGCGGUAAUACGGAGGGUGCAAGCGUUACUCGGAAUCACUGGGCGUAAAGAGCGCGUAGGCGGGAUAGCAAGUCAGAUGUGAAAUCCUAUGGCUUAACCAUAGAACUGCAUUUGAUACUGUUAUUCUAGAGUAUGGGAGAGGUAGGUGGAAUGCUUGGUGUAGGGGUAAAAUCCGUAGAGAUCAAGAGGAAUACUCAUUGCGAAGGCGACUUGCUAGAACAUAACUGACGCUGAUGCGCGAAAGCGUGGGGAGCAAACAGGAUUAGAUACCCUAGUAGUC